rnacentral:rRNA from 1 species
AGAGUUUGAUCCUGGCUCAGGAUGAACGCUGGCGGCGUGCUUAACACAUGCAAGUCGAACGGGAUCCAUCAAGCUUGCUUGGUGGUGAGAGUGGCGAACGGGUGAGUAAUGCGUGACCGACCUGCCCCAUGCACCGGAAUAGCUCCUGGAAACGGGUGGUAAUGCCGGAUGCUCCAUCACACCGCAUGGUGUGUUGGGAAAGCCUUUGCGGCAUGGGAUGGGGUCGCGUCCUAUCAGCUUGAUGGCGGGGUAACGGCCCACCAUGGCUUCGACGGGUAGCCGGCCUGAGAGGGCGACCGGCCACAUUGGGACUGAGAUACGGCCCAGACUCCUACGGGAGGCAGCAGUGGGGAAUAUUGCACAAUGGGCGCAAGCCUGAUGCAGCGACGCCGCGUGAGGGAUGGAGGCCUUCGGGUUGUAAACCUCUUUUGUUAGGGAGCAAGGCACUUUGUGUUGAGUGUACCUUUCGAAUAAGCACCGGCUAACUACGUGCCAGCAGCCGCGGUAAUACGUAGGGUGCAAGCGUUAUCCGGAAUUAUUGGGCGUAAAGGGCUCGUAGGCGGUUCGUCGCGUCCGGUGUGAAAGUCCAUCGCUUAACGGUGGAUCC